rnacentral:rRNA from 1 species
UACGUAGGGUGCAAGCGUUAAUCGGAAUUACUGGGCGUAAAGCGUGCGCAGGCGGUUUUGUAAGUCUGUCGUGAAAGCCCCGGGCUCAACCUGGGAAUUGCGAUGGAGACUGCAAGGCUUGAAUCUGGCAGAGGGGGGUAGAAUUCCACGUGUAGCAGUGAAAUGCGUAGAGAUGUGGAGGAACACCGAUGGCGAAGGCAGCCCCCUGGGUCAAGAUUGACGCUCAUGCACGAAAGCGUGGGGAGAAAACAGG